rnacentral:misc_RNA from 1 species
AUCAAACUCACGGAUGAUGUAAAACACAAUUAAAUAAGAUGCAAACUACAGCUUAUAAUAUUGUCUGUAAUUCUUCCAAAUAAAUUAAUAUUAACCCCCCAAUGAAAAAAAUACAACUUAAUAUCUAAAAUUGUCAACGCUAUAAAAUAGUCUAUCUUCUUCUUUAGAAUUCCUCCAAGCACGCUUAAGUAAAAUGGAAAGCGUGUCAAAAUAUCCCUGAAUCCUGUAAUUGAUAUGAGAAACCAAAUGCAAUCCAUCUGCUACUAUUCAUGAGUUUGAUCAGGGAGUUGCGAAGAAAUUUGAGAAGACCAAGAGUAGAACCCAUUGUCAUAGACAAGUGAUAAAACUUUACCCAUUAUCAAGGACGAGUGCCAUUCUCUAUAUCAUGUCCUGAUUUGUCGAAACAAAAUGAGGAAUCCAACCACCCUGCAACUUUAGCUUUCUCAACAUAAUGUACAAACUGUUUCUUAGCAUCAGGAACAUCCAGAGCCAAGUCAUCAAGAGUUUCUGCUACCCUACCAAAACCUUUCAUCAUCUGGUACGAGGUUAUGAGCCCUGAACAGAAACUCUCAUUAAGCAGUCGCCAUAAUCUUUCAUUCUUUUUCUCAAUGAUUGUCACCAAUGCUUUUUUAACGACCUCAUGGUGAAAAAAUGGCAUGCUUAAUUCCUUUAUGCAGCGGGAAGCUUCCCUGAUGUCUCCUCCAGAAUCAUAUUCCUCCAGCAACUUCCCAAUUUUAUCCUUAACAUCCUCAACUGCCCAUCCGGGUCUGCUGCUACCUGCUCCACCCCAACACCUUAGGAUUCGCUCCCCAGAAAGUCGAGCCUUUAGUAAUGAAUUUGCCAUUCGAAGGACCUUGCUUCCAAUUGACUCUAGCCCUAAAAACUGGCUUUCAAUUUCCUCCAAGUGUUGUGGGGCCAACACUUCAUCCACCACUGCUCUGGCUAAAAACAUUGCAAGAUCUUCAACAACAACUGGAUUAUCCAGAGCAGUGUCAUCUGCAGAUUCUAUCAACAUAACAAAUCCAUUCAAAACAUCAUCAGCUGGGAAGCACAAAGAUGACAACAAAACAGAAGCCAUUUCCUUUUCCCUAUUUUUUCUAUCCAUUGCUAAAGUUAUCAAUCUUUUAACAAAGACAGCAUUCAGUUCAGCAACACCAUUACCAUUCUCUGAUUCGAGACAACUACUGACCUCUGAAAUAUCACCAGAUAAGAAAUAUUCUUGAAUAAUAAAUUGAGCCUUUGUCUUGAAAAUUUUGGUAGCAUUGUCUUCUAAAGGUUGUUUCACUGGUGCUAAUGAGAGUGACUUCAAAGAUGAAGCACUCAACCAACCUUCUGAAGCAGCCUUGGAAAUUAAAGACUGCAAUAUCCCUCUUGCAUCUGGAAUGUCUAAGGACAAGUCAUCCACAGCAUCUAUAAUCCGGUUAAAUCCUUUUGUUAUUUGGCUUGUAUUAAUCAAUCCUUCUUGAGCAGCAUCCUUAAGCAAAUCCAGUAGCCGGCCUUCAGCUUGCUGCCUUUCCAUUGCCAUUAUAAUAGCCCGUUUAAUUAUUUCAUGAUGAAAGAAAGGAACAUUCAAAUCCUUGAUGCAUCUGAAAGCUUCUUUCUUAUCACCACUCACUAGAUACUCUACUAGCAAAUUGUUUAUAUUAGCAUUCACGUCCUCAACUGUUUUAUUCUUACUGCCUCCCCAUCGGCGCUCAAUAAUUUCUGCAUGAAGAGGGGCUGCUAGAUAGCCCUUUUCAGCUCUUUUUAAUACAUCAACCCCCUUUGAUUCUGCAGGUAAAGAAGCCAUUUGUUUUUUCAAAAAUGCAGGUGGAAGUAUGUCAUCAACGACAGCUCUGGCAAUGAAAAGUGCAAGAAUAUCAACAGUGUCAGGUAUAUCUACAAUUAAGUCAUCUGAAGACUCCACCAAUUUACUAAACCCUUUGUGAACUUGUGAAGGAUCAAUGAUGUCAGCAUAAAGAGCAGAUAAAAGAACAGCAGCCAUUUCCUUCUCUUUAUCAUG